rnacentral:lncRNA from 1 species
CAAACUUUCUCACAAACAUUAUUAUGAGCUGUUGAUAUGCACAAGAUAUUUUAAUUUUUUGCGGUGAAAUGAUUUCUUUCUUGCAAAAAAGAAUGUUUACACUUUGUGCUAGUGAAUUUUAUAGCAGGGAAUAUCGGGUGCUCCGGAAGUGUAAGCAGAUCCUGCUGCAUAUGAGGUACCAUUGUGAUGCUCAUGUUAUUACAAACCCGUCAACUAGUAUAAUUUUUGGAAAAAGAACAGGAUUUUAGUUCCGACUUUUAUAGCAGGGAAUAUUGGGUGCUCCGGAAGGGUAAGCAGAUCGUGCUGCAUAUGAGGUACCAUCGUGAUGCUCAUGUUAUUACAAACCCGUCAAAUAGUAUAAUUUUUGGAAAGGAAACAGGAUUUUAGUUCCGACAUAAGGAACAUCAUCUGUGAAACUGAUAUUCCGUAACAGUCAACCAACUCGUUAUGGUGUCCGCCAAUAAUAUGAAGGUAUGAUUCAAACUUUACCAUUUGGAACUGUUGAUUUAAUAGUUUCCUUGUCAAGGAAAUCAUGAUAAGAAAUACAAGCCCGGGAAUGUCGUUUCAAUCAGGAGAUACAUACUUUGUAUGAAGGCGCUGCAGUAAUGUUGCUUCAUAGAAAUGGAAAGUUCACAAUUGGGAAGCUGAAAUCAUCUGUUGUCGUAAAGUUUUGUUUUCAACCGACCUUUCAUUGUAAAUUUCGAUAUGGCGUAGACUUAACUGUAUCUGUUGUAUCCUUUAUCUCUAGUUCGAUGGGAUAAAUUUUGAAUUAUUGAGUGAGAGAACAUUAUCUAUAUAGCGGAAAGUAAAAGUUAAAGGAUAUUGCUUAAUUUCUUUUCUUUCUUCCUAAGAAGAUCUUGUAUAAAGUCAACCUCAUGGGAAUAAAGGAUUAAGUCGGCAAGAAGAAGGCACACUUGGUUACCAUGGGAAUGCCAAUUGUUUAUUGAAAAACACGUCCUCCAAACGUAUCAAAUAUGUUGUCAAUCAAGAAUGUCAGUUUAAGAGUAUUUUUUGUUUAAAUCAGUGUGAUUUUUUACAAAGUAGUGUGUAUCCCUCCCUAAGACAAGAUAUUUGUAUCCACGUUGGCCAUUCUUUUUUAUGAAAUAAAGCAAUACCAAC